GGCGGCGUGCUUAAUAAUGCAAGUCGAACGGAGCCUAGCAGUAGGCUUAGUGGCGAACGGGUGCGUAACACGUAGCUGAUCUGCCCCUCAGCGGGGGACAACAGGACGAAAGUUCUGCUAAUACCGCAUGAUUUCGGGAUAUUGAGAAAGUCUCGAAUAAACUUACGGGGUUGAGGGAGGGAGCUGCGGCCCAUCAGGUAGUUGGUGAGGUAACGGCUCACCAAGCCGACGACGGGUACGGGGCCUGAGAGGGUGGUCCCCCACACUGGAACUGACAAACGGUCCAGACUCCUACGGGAGGCAGCAGUAAAGGAUAUUGCGCAAUGGGCGAAAGCCUGACGCAGCAACGCCGCGUGGAGGAACAAGGCCUUCGGGUCGUAAACUCCUUUUGUGAGGGACGAGGAAGGACGGUACCUCAUGAAUAAGUCACGGCUAACUACGUGCCAGCAGCCGCGGUAAAACGUACGUGGCGAGCGUUAUCCGGAUUUACUGGGCGUAAAGCGUGUGCAGAUGGGUGAGUAAGUGGUGUAUGAAAUCGCUCGGCUUAACCGGGCGGCGUUAUGCCAGACUGCUCAUCU
rnacentral:rRNA from 1 species